UGGAAAGUUAAAGUCGUAACAAGGUCUCCGUUGGUGAACCAGCGGAGGGAUCAUUACCGAGUUUACAACUCCCAAACCCCUGUGAACAUACCUAUACGUUGCCUCGGCGGAUCAGCCCGCGCCCCGUAAAACGGGACGGCCCGCCCGAGGACCCUAAACUCUGUUUUUAGUGGAACUUCUGAGUAAAACAAACAAAUAAAUCAAAACUUUCAACAACGGAUCUCUUGGUUCUGGCAUCGAUGAAGAACGCAGCAAAAUGCGAUAAGUAAUGUGAAUUGCAGAAUUCAGUGAAUCAUCGAAUCUUUGACGCACAUUGCGCCCGCCAGUAUUCUGGCGGGCAUGCCUGUUCGAGCGUCAUUUCAACCCUCAAGCUCAGCUUGGUGUUGGGACUCGCGGUAACCCGCGUUCCCCAAAUCGAUUGGCGGUCACGUCGAGCUUCCAUAGCGUAGUAAUCAUACACCUCGUUACUGGUAAUCGUCGCGGCCACGCCGUAAAACCCCAACUUCUGAAUGUUGACCUCGGAUCAGGUAGGAAUACCCGCUGAACUUAAGCAUAUCAAUAA
rnacentral:rRNA from 1 species